AUUGAACGCUGGCGGUAGGCCUAACACAUGCAAGUAGAACGAGUGGCGGACGGGUGAGUAAUGUCUGGGAAACUGCCUGACGGCGGGGGAUAACUACUGGAAACGGUAGCUAAUACCGCAUACCAUCAGAUGUGCCCAGAUGGGAUUAGCUAGUUGGUGGGGUAACGGCCCACCAAGGAGACGAUCCCUAGCUGGUCUGAGAGGAUGACCAGCCACAUUGGACCUGAGACACGGGCCAGACUCCUACGGGAGGCAGCAGUGGGGAAUAUUGCACAAUGGUGGCAAGCCUGAUGCAGCCAUGCCGCGUGUAUGAAGAAGGCCUUCGGGUUGUAAAGUACUUUCAGCGGGGAGGCGUUACCCGCAGAAGAAGCACCGGCUAACUCCGUGCCAGCAGCCGCGGUAAUUC
rnacentral:rRNA from 1 species